GGAGCAGGGGGCAGUGUUCGUUGGGGAGGCUCGGGCUGCACAGGAGCCCACGGAGGCGGGGGGCGGGGGGCGGGGGGGGCGGGGAGGCAGGGGACGGGGGGUGCGGGGAGAGGUUCAGGCAUGGCAGGCUGCAGGUCCCAAGCCCUGCCCUGCGGGAAGGCCGCUAAGGCUCGGCGAGAAAUUGAGCACAGCAGCUGCUGGCCCA
rnacentral:lncRNA from 10 species